GUGCGGUAACGGCGCACCAAGGCAAUGACGGGUAGCGGGUCUGAGAGGAUGAUCCGUCACACUGGAACUGAGACACGGUCCAGACUCCUACGGGAGGCAGCAGUGGGGAAUCUUGCACAAUGGGCGCAAGCCUGAUGCAGCGAUGCCGCGUGCGGGAAGAAGGCCUUAGGGUUGUAAACCGCUUUCAGGAGGGAAGAAAAUGACGGUACCUCCAGAAGAAGGUGCGGCCAACUACGUGCCAGCAGCCGCGGUGACACGUAGGCACCAAGCGUUAUCCGGAUUUAUUGGGCGUAAAGAGCUCGUAGGCGGUUUGGUAAGUCGGGUGUGAAAACUCUGGGCUCAACCCAGAGAGGCCACUCGAUACUGCUAUGACUAGAGUACGGUAGGGGAGCGGGGAAUUCCUGGUGUAGCGGUGAAAUGCGCAGAUAUCAGGAGGAACACCAGCGGCGAAGGCGCCGCUCUGGGCCGUAACUGACGCUGAGGAGCGAAAGCAUGGGUAGCAAACAGGAUUAGAUACCCUGGUAGUCCAUGCCGUAAACGUUGGGCACUAGGUGUGGGUCUCAACCAACGAGAUCCGCGCCGUCGCUAACGCAUUAAGUG
rnacentral:rRNA from 1 species